rnacentral:rRNA from 1 species
GAUGAACGCUGGCGGCGUGCCUAACACAUGCAAGUCGAGCGGCAGCGAGGGGUGCUUGCACCCUGUCGGCGAGCGGCGGACGGCUGAGUAACGCGUGGGAACGUGCCCCAAAGUGAGGAAUAACUGCCCGAAAGGGUAGCUAAUACCGCAUAUUAUCUUCGGAUCAAAGGAUUUAUCCGCUUUGGGAGCGGCUCGCGUCGGAUUAGGUAGUUGGUGAGGUAAUGGCUCACCAAGCCGACGAUCCGUAGCUGGUCUGAGAGGAUGACCAGCCAGACUGGAACUGAGACACGGUCCAGACUCCUACGGGAGGCAGCAGUGAGGAAUCUUCCACAAUGGGCGAAAGCCUGAUGGAGCAACGCCGCGUGCAGGACGAAGGCCUUCGGGUUGUAAACUGCUUUUAUAAGUGAGGAAUAUGACGGUAACUUAUGAAUAAGGAACGGCUAACUACGUG